AGGUGUUGCAUGGCUGUCGUCAGCUCGUGUCGUGAGAUGUUCGGUUAAGUCCGCUAACGAGCGCAACCCGCGUUGUGUGUUAUAUGUGUCACACAAUACGCCGGUAUUAAGACCGGAGGAAGGUGCGGAUGACGUCAAGUCAGCAUGACCUUUAUAUCCAGGGCUACACACACGCUACAAUGGACAGUACAACAGGUUGCCAAGCCGCGAGGCGGAGCCAAUCCUCUAAAGCUGUCCUCAGUUCAGAUUGCAGGCUGCAACUCGCCUGCAUGAAGUUGGAGUUGCUAGUAACCGCAGGUCAGCUAUACUGCGGUGAAUACGUUCCCGGGGAUU
rnacentral:rRNA from 1 species